GAUGAACGCUGGCGGCGUGCUUAACACAUGCAAGUCGAACGGUCAAAGAGAGCUUGCUCUCUUGUUCAGUUGCCAACGGGUGAGUAACACGUGAGCAAUCUGCCCCUGACUCUGAGUUAAGCGCUGGCAACGACGUCUAAUACCGGAUACGAGAUGCUAAGGCCUCCUCAGCAGCUGGAAAGAACUUCGUUCAGGGAUGAGCUCGCGGCCUAUCAGCUAGUUGGUGAGGGAACGGCAACCCAAGGCCUCGGCGGGUAGCCGGCCUGGGAGGGUGACCGGCCACACUGCGACUGAGGCACGGCCCAGACUGGUACGGGAGGCAGCGGUGGGGAAUAUUGCACAGUGGGCGAAAGCCUGAUGCAGCAACGCCGCGUGAGGGACGACGGCUUUCGGGUUGUAAACCUCUUUUUGCGGGGAUGUAGCCAAAGUGACGGUACCUGCAGAAAAAGCACCGGCUAACUACGUG
rnacentral:rRNA from 1 species